CGAAGUUGCAGACGUGGAUCCAAUCUGUGGAGACUUGCGUUCGUCAACUCACUGGUGUGGAACGCCGCCAAGGCAUGUAGUUCAAAUGAUGAGAGCAAUUACAAGUAUGCCUUGAGGGCACCAGACGAUCGGCCUUUUACCGAAACAAACGUCCUGGGGGUCUGGCCUCACUGCUUAUGAGCCCAGAAAGCCGCACGAGCUCUUCUACAGCACAUGAAGGUGACAGACUUGAGUGCCCGACGGCAGCAUUCCCACUAGCUUCUCUCUGGAAUGUUGUGCGUAAGUACGAAGGUAAGCACUACAGCUUCUGCA